AAACCAGCACCUCAAGUGGUCAGGAUGAUUAUUGGGCCUAAAGCAUCCGUAGCCUGAUCUGUAAGUUUUCGGUUAAAUCUGUACGCUCAACGUACAGGCCGCCGGGAAUACUGCAGAUCUAGGGAGUGGGAGAGGUAGACGGUACUCGGGAGGAAGUGGUAAAAUGCUUUGAUCUCUCGAUGACCACCUGUGGCGAAGGCGGUCUACCAGAACACGUCCGACGGUGAGGGAUGAAAGCUGGGGGAGCAAACCGGAUUAGAAACCCUGGUAGUCC
rnacentral:rRNA from 1 species